UUCAUUCUUGGACCAAAGCUGAAGGAGCAGUCUUUCUGGCAUGUACAUGUCUUGCAGAGGAAAGAGGAAAGAGAAAAGUGAUGGAACUAUGACUCUUAACAAGGCUGCUUGGAAGUGGCACAUGUCAUUAACUCUCAUAUUUAAUUGGCUAGAGCAUGUCACAGGGUGAAAGCUGCAUCAUCUGAGAGAGUGGCCUUGUAAGAGGGGAUAGGGAAAGACUGAUAGGGAGAAACAGUACAUA
rnacentral:lncRNA from 1 species